UCCCUGGAGGACUAGUGGUUAGGCCUUGGUGCUCUCACCGCUGCGACCCAAGUACAAUUCCCGGCCAGGGAA